UUGCCCUAAGGACAAAUCCCGUGGGCUGCUUUUAACUAACGGUGAGAUUACGAACGAUGCUCUCUAUUGCUCUUCCCCUCUUUUUUUUUUUCUUUUUUCUUUUCCUUUUUUCUUUUAGUCAGCUAAAUAGCGAAAUUGAGAAUCGUUAGCUGCGUGCGUCUAGGGUUUAGAUUUAUCAAGAGAAUCAUCGUCGCUUCGAAUCCCCCCAAAUCAAACACGAUUCGUAGCAUCUCUGCGUCCGUUCUCGUUCACUGAUCUGAUUUUGCAGCUAAAAUGGUGGAGUCCGAUGAUGGAGUUGAUUUCAAGGCUUAUAGUCCGAUCGAGAGCUCUCUGUUUUCCUUUCAAUGUGUUUGGUCCACGAAGAAGAAGAGAAGUUCGAAAUUAGUCAAGUCCAAAGAGUUCAGCAGNNN
rnacentral:lncRNA from 1 species